CGGGCUGUGGCGCAGUUUGGUAGCGCACCUGCUUUGGGAGCAGGGGGUCGCCGGUUCAAAUCCGGCCAGCCCGA
rnacentral:tRNA from 1 species